GCAGGUGCGAAUGGAUUUUGGCCAAUCCUCUCCUCGCGCGCGGCGUGCUUCCAGUCGUGGAACCCUAGACCCCUUUCCCCAAUCCCACGGCCGCCUCCAUUCUCCCGUGCUCCACCCCGAGCGGGCUCCGUCGCCUCCUCCUCCUCCUCCUUCACCAUCCCUUCCCCUGUCACAGCUGCAUUGGGGAGGUUGGGUUUUCUCGCUGGGGGGGAGGAGCUGGGGACGGCCAGGAGGCCAGUGGCGGGAGGCAGCCAAGCCGGCCUGCCGUCUCUCCCCCGGAUCUGGUCAGCGGCCGAAUUUCUAGCUGGGAUGAGGAGUUUGUCCUCCUGCGGCGCUCGUCAUCAAUGACAGCCUGGUCUGCAAGUCGCGGCCCUCCUAUGUCGGGCUACACGAUGGGUCUUACCGAACAGCGCUGGCCAGCAGUAGGUAUUUGCAGGUGCUAAUCUUCGGUUUACCACUUGUCGCUUUGGUCUGACAGGGUGCUAGCAGCUGCAGUUCUGUUCAUUUGGAGGACACAUAUGGCAAACUGUGACAUCAUGGUGUUUAUCUAACGACCUUAUAUUCCGGGCCAGUUGAUUCCUUUUUUAGCCAAGGCCAUAUUUAUAUCACAUUUCUAUACUUAUGCAUCAGAUUUUCUCCUAUUAGUUAUGCAAUUGAGGCCUUUUUAUUUCUUCAGUAUCACUAUGAGUAUCAUGAUAGAGAGUUAAUAGUUCACUCACUGGACACAAUAUUUAGUUGGCAUAUUGAGGGGCUCACACCCUUUUAUGGAUGGACUUAUACCAUGAACCUUUGAACAGAUAGCAGUUGCUCCGAGUGAUUGUUCCCAAUUAUUCUACAUUUUAAUUGUAUCGGUUGGGCAACAGCGAGUGCCGGUGAGUGCAAGCAUGUGUUUCCAGAAGCGUCCUCUCCUACAAGGUAGGCAAGGACGACGUCAUCGCCCUCGCAGGUUCUACGAUCUGUUGCAUCUUUGUUCUUCUCGUUAAGGAGAGGGGAGGUGGCCAAUGACAGGGAGAAGGAGCAGGCCGUCGAGGAGUGCAAGCAGAAGGGUUGGUCGGAUCUGUUGUAUGAGGUAGGCUUCAGGCCAACGGAAGAUGAUUUAUCGGAUGACUGCCGCCACAGGUCUUCGGGGUUCCGUGUGCACCUGUGACAUUUUGUAUAAAUUUGGAGGCCACACGUGACAAUUGCUAUAUCUAUUGUGUUCUGUCACCGUUUUUACCUUCGUCAAUCUCAUGCAACAAAUGAUAGACGAACAAUCGCUACUGUUUGCAUGUUCCUGGCUGGAAAAGUCGAAGAAACACCUAGGCCUUUGAAGGAUGUCAUCCUGGUUUCUUACGAGCUUAUUUAAAAAGGAUCCUGCUGCUUGUCAGAAAAUCAAGCAGAGGGUAAUGUAAUGGAUCCAAUUGGAUGCUUCUUUUGCUCUUUGGUGAACCUUUUUCCCUUUACAAAAGUUGUAGCAUGUUCAUGACCUGAUUUCACCCUAUAAAUCUUGUUGUUCUUAUACAAUAACAGAAAAUAACUUCGCCAAUAUAGCCAGUAGAAGGCUGGCUAUUUCUAUCAGAAUCCUAACCUUUUCUCA